ACUUGACUAGCUGAGAGAGGUGCAUGGCCGUCGUCAGUUCGUACUGUGAAGCAUCCUGUUAAGUCAGGCAACGAGCGAGACCCACGCCAACAGUUGCCAGCUCGUCCUCCGGGAUGGUGGGGACACUGUUGGGACCGCCUCUGCUAAAGAGGAGGAAGGAAUGGGCAACGGUAGGUCAGCAUGCCCCGAAUUAUCUGGGCUACACGCGGGCUACAAUGGGUGGGACAAUGGGUAUCGACACCGAAAGGUGAAGGCAAUCUCCUAAACCCAUCCGUAGUUCGGAUUGUGGGCUGCAACUCGCCCACAUGAAGCUGGAAUCUGUAGUAAUCGUGUCUCAAAAUGGCACGGCGAAUAUGUCCCUGCUCCUU
rnacentral:rRNA from 1 species